UACAGAGGGUGCGAGCGUUACUCGGAAUUACUGGGCGUAAAGCGUGCGUAGACGGUUAUUUAAGUCGGAUGUGAAAGCCCCGGGCUCAACCUGGGAAUUGCAUUCGAGACUGAAUAGCUAGGGUGCGGUAGAGGGAAGCGGAAUUUCCGGUGUAGCGGUGAAAUGCGUAGAUAUCGGAAGGAACAUCAGUGGCGAAAGCGGCUUCCUGGACCAGCACCGACGUUCAGGCACGAAAGCGUGGGGAGCAAACAGG
rnacentral:rRNA from 1 species